rnacentral:lncRNA from 1 species
AUAAUGUAAACAGACCAAAUUGAUCGUUUUUUUUUUUUUUUGAGACUGAUUAAUCAUCAGAUUACUGCAUUACACAGAUAUUUACAACAACUGCUUAUUGUAGCAGAGGUAUUACACUGAUAUUUACAAUCAGAUAUACAUGAUUGAGACUUACAUUAUUACAAUGAAUUCUAUGAAGUACAUGCCCAAUACAAAUAACCCCUCAUAGGAGAGAAUGUCCAUACUCCACUUGCAUUUCGCAAGGAAGAAGGAUAUAAAGAACAUUUAGCCCCCACAAUGCUUUUGUGGGGGCUAGAACCGCUGCCCUCACAAUGCUUCAAUGCUUUUGUGGGGGCUAGAACCGCUGCCCUCACAAGCAUUGUGAGGGCAGCAGCCCACCACUUCGGCC